UGGGGAAUAUUGGACAAUGGGCGAAAGCCUGAUCCAGCCAUGCCGCGUGUGUGAAGAAGGUCUUCGGAUUGUAAAGCACUUUAAGUUGGGAGGAAGGGCAUUAACCUAAUACGUUAGUGUUUUGACGUUACCGACAGAAUAAGCACCGGCUAACUCUGUGCCAGCAGCCGCGGUAAUACAGAGGGUGCAAGCGUUAAUCGGAAUUACUGGGCGUAAAGCGCGCGUAGGUGGUUUGUUAAGUUGGAUGUGAAAUCCCCGGGCUCAACCUGGGAACUGCAUUCAAAACUGACUGACUAGAGUAUGGUAGAGGGUGGUGGAAUUUCCUGUGUAGCGGUGAAAUGCGUAGAUAUAGGAAGG
rnacentral:rRNA from 1 species